GUUCCUGUAGCGGAGUGGUUACCGCGUGACUCUUAUAACUACAUGCUACGCUUGUGAUUAUGAAAAAUCAUGUCAAGGUCCGGGGUUCGACCCCCCGCGGGAACA
rnacentral:tRNA from 1 species